rnacentral:tRNA from 1 species
GCCCGGAUAGCUCAGUCGGUAGAGCAGGGGAUUGAAAAUCCCCGUGUCGGUGGUUCGAUUCCGAGUCCGGGCACCA